rnacentral:rRNA from 1 species
AUUGAACGCUGGCGGCAUGCUUUACACACGCAAGUCGAACGGUAACAGGUUAAGCUGACGAGUGGCGAACGGGUGAGUAAUGCAUCGGAACGUGUCCGGUCGUGGGGGAUAACGCAGCGAAAGCUGCGCUAAUACCGCAUACGAUCUGAGGAUGAAAGCGGGGGACCGUAAGGUCUCGCGCGAUCGGAGCGGCCGAUGUCAGAUUAGGUAGUUGGUGGGGUAAAGGCUCACCAAGCCGACGAUCUGUAGCUGGUCUGAGAGGACGACCAGCCACACUGGGACUGAGACACGGCCCAGACUCCUACGGGAGGCAGCAGUGGGGAGUUUUGGACAAUGGGCGCAAGCCUGAUCCAGCAAUGCCGCGUGCAGGAAGAAGGCCUUCGGGUUGUAAACUGCUUUUGUACGGAGCGAAAAGGCUCUCUCUAAUACAGGGGGCUCAUGACGGUACCGUAAGAAUAAGCACCGGCUAACUACGUGCCAGCAGCCGCAGUAA